rnacentral:rRNA from 1 species
GAUGAACGCUGGCGGCGUGCCUAAUACAUGCAAGUCGAGCGAUCAGACGAGGAGCUUGCUCCUCUGACGUUAGCGGCGGACGGGUGAGUAACACGUGGAUAACCUACCUAUAAGACUGGGAUAACUUCGGGAAACCGGAGCUAAUACCGGAUAAUAUAUUGAACCGCAUGGUUCAAUAGUGAAAGACGGUUUUGCUGUCACUUAUAGAUGGAUCCGCGCCGCAUUAGCUAGUUGGUAAGGUAACGGCUUACCAAGGCGACGAUGCGUAGCCGACCUGAGAGGGUGAUCGGCCACACUGUAACUGAGACACGGUCCAGACUCCUACGGGAGGCAGCAGUAGGGAAUCUUCCGCAAUGGGCGAAAGCCUGACGGAGCAACGCCGCGUGAGUGAUGAAGGUCUUCGGAUCGUAAAACUCUGUUAUUAGGGAAGAACAAAUGUGUAAGUAACUAUGCACGCCUUGACGGUACCUAAUCAGAAAGCCACGGCUAAAUACGUG